rnacentral:snoRNA from 1 species
AUGAUUCCUCCCUCAAAAGCAUUCUUGGAAAGCUAAACAGAAUAAUUCAGAUCUCAAUACCAUUUUUCUCUUCAGCAUUGA